GAGAUUUAGUGUUUAAGAAAAAGMUUCUAACUUAAUUCUUGAGCGGUUAAAUUCCGUUCGUAUCUCU
rnacentral:tRNA from 1 species